UUAAAAUGGCAGAGAAGUUAGGCUCCAGAA
rnacentral:piRNA from 1 species